GGUAACUCCUCACUAGAGAAUAAAAUUAGAACAUCCAGCCCGUUUCGUGGGACACGCAAGAGACGAGCACGUGGUGCGGGUCCAAUUAAGGGACGGGUGUUACUAAGUUAAGCACAAGGCAACGGGAGGUCAUGAUACAAUUUCAAAUCCGAAUCAACGCAAUGUAAGCCAAUGAAUAGCAGAUAGGCGGGGUAUAUUAAUUUUUGUGUUGCUUCCUGUUGCGGCUGUGGAGGAGCGUACAAGUAUAAUCAGACGUCCUUCUGCAAGGAUGUAGCACGUGCCAGGAUCCGUCAUUGCACGUGGUCUCCAUUUGACAGAUGCUUUGCUGCGGGGAUGGAUGUUUUACCAUUCCUCCGCUCUAUGCGUUUUGUGCUUCUUUGCCUUCAAAAUUCUUGUAUUAGUUGGAAGGUGAAAUAUCUUAAUUAAUAAAUUGUGACCCUCUUAAUUGGA